rfam:Clostridiales bacterium oral taxon 876 str. F0540 genomic scaffold Scaffold17, whole genome shotgun sequence.
CUUAACUUUCUAUCUGAUCUUUUAGGGGAAGCUCCUAAACUUGAUGUAGACUGAACACAAGACCUAAGACUCCGCCAUGCAAUAUUUAAUAUCCUAAAUAUUGUAUGAAGCGCGGUGAAGUCAGUGAAAAUCAGACCUGAGAAGCGGUUAGAGAAGUAACUGGGGUGCCAUAAA